CGUACUGCCUUCAGCAUCCCACCGUCUUUCGAUGGACACCGCACGUCUCCAUCUCCGUUCUCAAAGUCACGCUCAGGUGCCCCUCGCUUCCUUUCCAAAUCCGUGCACCCUGCUCCUCUUUUGUAAUGCACCUGGUCGCCGAGGAGAGUUCCUCGACGACGUGAUCCGCACACACGACUAGGAGAACUGUCUCCAGGUACACGAGAGGUAAGAAGUGUUUGGGAUUUCAGUUUCUGUUAUUCGAUACCCCUGGUGCUUACAGAUUGUUCCAUUUAUAUCUUACUGGCCAUAAGCCAAAUCUCCAACUACUACUGCCAUAGGCCUAAAAACAUCAACUAGAUUACAAGCAGGACACACCUAGAUAUAGCUCAGAAUUAAUACUAAGCACUUAUCGACUCAGGUGUCACUAGAGAUCACCACACCUGCCCCCUCUUUAGAUUGUGCAUGCCCUCAUGGAGUAAGCUCAGGAAACAUCUUAACCAGCACAUUCCAAUCUUCCCAAGAAGUGGCUUCAUCUUUUUUUGUCCACUGAACCAUCACCUAGGAAAUGGCAUGAUUCCCCUUCUUCACAAGUCGUCGGUCCAAGAUCUUCACCAGCCUCAGUGCUCCUUGCUCCAGAUUUAGUGUUGUUGGUAAUUCAGAGAAAACUGGUCGAUAAUUGGGUGUAAAGGGAUUCAACCGUGAAACAUGGAAAACUAACUGUAUUGAAGCCCCCUCAGGCAACUCCAGCUAUACACUUCACUAUCUUGAAAGGGCCAAAGUACCGAAAAGAAAGCUUAGGACAAGAGCGAAACACAACCGAAUGCUGCACAUAUUGUUGUAACUUGAGUAAGACCAUCUCCCCAACUUGAAAAAUUCGAUCAGUCCUCAAUUUAUCAACCUGUUGUUUCAUUCGAUUUUGAGCUCAGGCCAACUACACUUUCAACAUCUCCAUAUGACGGAAUCGAGCCUCUAGCAUUUCAGACACCUGCACAUCACUAGAAUUAUGCACUGCUAGAGCAGCAGCCACUAAUGGCUCAUAACCAUAUACCACUUUAACAGGAGAACAACCUAGAGAUGUGUGAUAGGAAGUAUUAUACCAAUACUUAGCUAAAGGUAACCAGGCUUUCCACUUAUAAGGUGAAGCAUGCACAAAACACCUCAAAUACAUCUCCAAACACUGGUUAACCCUCUCGGUCUGCCCAUCUAUUUAGGGAUGACAAGCAGUGGACAUCAGCAACUUGGUUUGCAUCAAAGUAAAAAUUUGCUUCCAGAAUGCACUAGUAAACACCUUUUCCCUGUCAGAAACAAUACACAAAGUCAUCCCAUGUAGCUUGCAAAUGUUAUCCACUAUUACUUGAGCCACUUGUUGUGCAGAAAAUGGAUGUUUCAAAGGGAAGAAAUGGGCAUAUUUGGAAAAGCGAUCUACCACCACCAAGAUUGUUGUAUAUCCCUCUGACUUAGGAAAGCCUUCAACAAAAUCCAUAGAGAUAUCUUGCCACACCCCUUUCGAAAUAGAUAAUGGCUGCAACAACCUAGCAGGAUGAACAUGCUUAGCUUUAGCUUUCUAGCAAAUAGCACACUGCUUCACAAAGUUUGUAACAUCCAACUUCAGCCCUUUCCAAUAGAAAGCCUUUUUAACCCUCUAAUAGGUAGGAAGAAUACUAGAAUGGCCUCCCAAUACACUAUCAUGCAACACGGAGAUGAGUUUAGUUCUCAGAGCAGAAUUUUGGCCCACCCAAAUCUGAUCACCACGCCUAAUCAAGCCUUGAUGUAAAGAGAAACCAUGCCGAUCAGGACUUAGGACAACCAGUUUGGUUAACAACUAUUGGGCCUCCUCAUCGGUCACAUAAGAAUUCAAUAUUUCUUGCAACCAUAAAGGUGUCACCUCAGACACAGCAUGCAGAGCUAAAGCAUGUCCCACCUUAGUCAACGCAUCAGCAGCCAAAUUUUCCUUUCCUUGCCUAUACACAAUUUUGAACUGAAGACCCAUCAACUUGGGCAUUGCCUUCCUUUGCAACUCAGACUGCAAUUGUUGUCCUUCUAAGAAACACAAGCUUUUAUGGUCUGUCUUGAUAAUGAAUUCAUUGUGUAGCAAAUAGGUUCUCCAUUUCAAAGCAAUGGUAGCCUCAUCUGUCCAGUGGAACUUGUUUUUUUUGCAAUAGGGUAGUGAAAGGUUUAGCAAUCGCUCCAUAAUUCUUCACAAAUUUCCUAUAAUAGCUAGUGAGACCUAGAAAAGCUCUUAACUCAGUAACAAAAGUGGGCACAUGCCAUUUCCACAUCACAUUAGUUUUACUUGGAUCUGUAGAAACUCCUUCAGCUGCAAUUAUGUGCCCCCAAAUACACCAACUGAGUUUGCACAAAAUGGCACUUAGAUCUCUCGAUAUAAAACUGAUGUUCCCUCAAAACAGUCAACACCUGCCUCAAAUGACUCCAAUGCAAUUCUAAAGAAGGACUGUAUAUGAGGAUAUCAUCUAUGAAAACCAAUGCAAACUUCCUCAAAAAUGGAGCCAAAAUAGAGUUCAUAGCACAUUGAAAAGUUGGAGGGGCACUGGUUAACCCAAAUGGCAUUACCUUAAACUGGUAGUGGCCAUUAUGGGUUUUAAAGGCUAUCUUAUACUCCUCUCCUUCCUUCAUCCUCACCUGAUGGUACCCAACCUUUAAGUCCAAACUAGAGAAAAACUUAGUGCCACUGCCACUCAACUCAUCCAAAAUUUCAUCAAUCAAUGGCAUUAGGAACCUAUUCUUGAUGGUUAAAUCAUUCAACUUCCUAUAGUCAACACAAAACCUCCGCGUACCAUCUUUUUUCUUCACCAAAAGGAUAGGUGAUGCAAAUGGACUCACAUUGGGUUCAAUUAAACCAGCUUCCAGCAGUUUUGCCACCUAUCUCUCAAUUUCAUUUUUUAUGAAAUGGGGAAUAUCGAUAAGGCCUAGAAUUAACCGGAAUAGCUCCAGGCAACAAGGGAACAACAUGAUCAAACACUCUAACAUGUGGUAAAGCUUUAGGGUCUUCAAACACAUCACUAAACUCAGACAAGAGUUCCUGCAGCUGCCAAGAAGGACCAAUGGAACAUUUAAUUGCUGUGCUCUGCAUAUUAAAGUCCACCAGAGCUAAAUCCCAUACAUCAUUCCCUUGAAGCCACUUUGUUAGUUACAACACUAACGAUUCCUCCACUUUCUAAGAAAGAGGUUAUUACACCUUGCAACCUAACUUUAGUCCCCUUAUGCUAGAACUCCAAAGCCUUUUGUUUCCAAUGAUAAAGCAUAGGAUCAUAGUUCUGCAACCAAUCAAAUCCUAAGAUAACAUCAUAUGAACCCAACUCUAGAAUUCUCAUGUCAGUGCUAAAAGAAUGGCCAUUACACCACCAUUCUACUGCAGGUACCAUAGAAUCACUCACCGACUCCUUACCAUUAGCCACCUUUACCUUGACAGCAGGACAACUGAUAGAUGGUAACCCCACUUGCUGCACAAAAGCAGAAUUAAUGAAAGUAGUAGAACUGCAUGUGUCCACCAAUAACAAAAAUGCUUGAUCCUUCACCAAUGCUUGCAAACGAAUAUUCUGCAUACUUUUAGUACCAGAAAUAGCUAGCAUCGACGGUUUACAAGACUCAUCCCCUAGUUGAUCUUCCUGAUCCAACUGCUGUAAAACUUCCUCACUGAGCUCCAAGGACAAAUCCUCAACAGAAAGUGUAUUCAACUGCAUAGGACCUUUUAUUUUACACUUAGCAGCAUGACCUGCAUCAUACUUCUCCCCACAAACAAAACAUAGACCAUGAAUCCUUCUAUAAUCCUUGAGUUUCCUUUUUUUGGAGAGAUCAACACCCCCAUUUAUCUGCUUAUGGUCAGGUCUAUACUGCCCACCUUGUCUGAUGACAGCCCCCCUCGUAGAAGUCGACCUCUACCUUUCUCCAAAACUUCAGAGUGCAACUUUGCCAAUAGCACAACACGAUUCACCGUAGUUGGUACUUGACACAACACUGAGCCCCGAAUAUCAGGUUUGAGGCCCUUCACAAAUUGUUGCCCAAAGAAAAUUUCAUCCAACGUAGGAUUGUGCAUAGCAGUGGAAUAACGUAACCCAACAAACUCCUCUACAUACUCAUCCACUGAACCCGACUACUGCAGAUGAAGCAGGUCAUGCAUAGCUUGGGGGUACUCAUAAGAACCAAAAGUACUCACCACUACAGCAGUAAACUGAUUCCAAUUUCAAAGAGGUUGAUUCAACUUGUAAACCUGCAGCUAUUUCGCUGCCUUGCCUUCCAUAUGCAUAGAGGCUGCCAUCACCCACAACGAUGCCUGAGCAUGAUAGAGAGUAAAGUAAUCCUUGCACUUAGCAAACCAAAUAGAAGGAUGGUCACCCUGAAAGUUGGGAAACCACAAUUUCAUCAUAGAAGCAUUUCCACCACCAUCAUCACGUCCAUGUCGAUGUCCACCUGCACCAUGAUCAUGCAUUGGAUGCCGCCCAUCCUGAUCAAAUUCAUCCAUCUGAUGUGGAGAAGGUACGCCUCCAGAAUCCGAAUAUAGUUCAGAAGAAGGUUCCCCAAACUGGUCCAUCCGCUCAGCCAUCCGUUCCAAAGUCAAGGCUACCACCCUCUUCCAUAUUUCAUCAAUAUGCCGUGCCAUGACAUCCUGAUCCUUCGCCACUUGCUCCGCCAUAGAUGAUGAUAGACUUGCUGACCCAUCAACUGUUGGUGAUUGGUCUCCAACUUUUGCAACCGUCCACUGAUGGAGUCCAGCGCUGCAAACAUCUUAUCCCACCGAGUCUCAUCCGAACGAUUCGUCUCCGCCAUUGCUUCCAAGACGAAGCGCGUCUGCACCGAAGGUCGAGCAGACGGAGCCAUGAUGCCACCCCGACGAACGACGUCCCUGAACCACCCACCAAGCACAGAAAGAUGCCUCCCAGGACAAUGAAUCUGGUACCAGUUGUAAUGCCCCUGGCCGCCGAGGAGAGUUCCUCGCAGACGUGAGCCGCAUACAUGAGUAGGAGAACUGUCUCCAGUACGCGAGAGGAAAAAGGAAGCAGCGAAGAAACCUAUGCAAACAAGGUUAUCCAAGCUGCUAAAGAACCAGGGCUACGUCCUUACCAUAAUCCAUAUCCGAGAGGUAACCUUCUGUGAUGUUAUAAUAAACACCUCCAUAUUAUUCUACAUAGCGAGCCACAACAGAAAUUUUUUUGACAACAUUUUUUCACAUUCUAUUCGAUAUUAAAUUAGUUUAUGAGGUAAAUAAUUCCAAAUUGGUAAAAGAUGAGUUCAACAUUGGCCCAUUCUUCUCACAGCUGCAGGCAUUAGCCAACAGACCUACAUCUUGCAUAUGUAUUUCUCUUGCAUCUACUUACCUCUAUGGAUCUAGCAUAUGGCUGCAUAUAUGACUGAUUAUGACACUGAUAUAUAUGUUUCGAUUUCCGAUGAAAUGUUACCAUAACUUUUUUGUCGGUCAUAUUCAUUGUUGCUAGAAUUCUAGCAGAACAAGCAUGACAAUAAGCUUCGCUGCUGACUCUGCAGAUAUCCACCUGCAAUAUAGUGAUAAAUAAUAGAACAUUUGUGAGAUGUCGUGGUGCCCUAUCAUGCUUUCUUUGCUUUCCUUCAAAUUCUUCCUAUGAUAUGGCUAACAAAAUGAAAUGGUAGAUUCAGGUGACUUCACAACCUUUUGAUGUUUAGGUUAGAACAGUGUGAUGGUCAAGUUGUAAAAAUGGUUGCAAAAAUGCUGAAUACAUGUUGAAGAAAUGGUUGCACAUAUGAUUGAUUCUGGAAGAAAUGAAAUCACUAGAGAGAAGAAAAUAGGCGCUGGAAUGGUAAUAGGAACUUGAAGUUUGUCCUUUUCAGACUUCUACCCAGAAAAUGAUUUUGUUUCGUUUUCCUUGCUUAAUAUUCCUAAAUUUUUGACUGACUAAAUUAGUGCUCUAUUGAACACUGAAUGCUGAAUGACUGACACUGGAUUAUUAUUUCUCGUAGCACAGACUCUCGCGAAGCGCGAACAAUCUACUCGUUCAAAUAAAAACCAAUAUGAUAUGUGGUAACUUCACCUUGGUUUCAUACACCUUUUCAGUUGAACUGAUGAACCCAUGGGCAUGGGCUAUUUUUGCACAUACCUCAAUACUAAUCCAUGCAUAGAUGUUGUUUACACUUCGCAGUGGGAGGCAAUGCAACUCAAUAGGUAACAUAAUUGCAUUUAAAGUUCUGUUCUACCAGUUCUGUGAUGGUAUGGAUGAUUCUAUUUAAGCCUCAAUGUCUCAGCAUUAGUUAUAUUGGUGGAUUCCUCAAAGUAUGAUUGUUCACAUUUAUUCAUUACCAUGGCAGCACCGCUUACAGACAUUUUAAUGAUUGGUGCAGCUGAUUUUGAUCUUACUGGACAUUUAGUGUGGCCAAGGGCAGUCCUGAUGAACAACUAACUAUCUCAACACCCUGAAACUCUUAAGGGAUGUUCAGUAAUCGAGCUACGAUCUGGGAUUGGUUGAAAUGAUCAUUGGAUGAAUUUAUAGAUUUAGAUGCGCAUGAGAUGGGACGAAGAAGCAAUGAAUACCAAGAAUAUUUCUUAUUUGUAGUUAUAUUUCAUUUUGACCUUUAUAGACUUAACUUAUUCUCUAGAAUCGUAUCAAUGUAAAUAUCAAUUGUAUUUUGUGGACAAGUAUUAUGUUUUUUUUACCUUCCUCCAAUCAAUACAAGUACCUAUGAUUACUUAAA